rnacentral:rRNA from 1 species
AUUGAACGCUGGCGGCAUGCCUUACACAUGCAAGUCGAACGGCAGCGGGGACUUCGGUCCGCCGGCGAGUGGCGAACGGGUGAGUAAUGUAUCGGAACGUACCAUUGAGUGGGGGAUAACGUAGCGAAAGUUACGCUAAUACCGCAUAUUCUCUCCGGAGGAAAGCAGGGGACCGCAAGGCCUUGCGCUCUUUGAGCGGCCGAUAUCAGAUUAGCUAGUUGGUGAGGUAAAGGCUCACCAAGGCGACGAUCUGUAGCGGGUCUGAGAGGAUGAUCCGCCACACUGGAACUGAGACACGGUCCAGACUCCUACGGGAGGCAGCAGUGGGGAAUUUUGGACAAUGGGGGCAACCCUGAUCCAGCCAUGCCGCGUGAGUGAAGAAGGCCUUCGGGUUGUAAAGCUCUUUCGGCCGGGAAAAAAUCGCAUGGGCUAAUACCCUGUGUGGAUGAUGGUACCGGAAUAAGAAGCACCGGCUAACUACGUGCCAGCCGCCGCGGUAA